rnacentral:lncRNA from 1 species
CAGAGCCCUGGGGAAGGGGUGCUAGGCUCACUGAGGAGAGGUUUGAACAGGUUAUGUGAAAGCAGAAGAUCCUAAGGGGUGGGGGAAUAUCCUGACCUUUACUCUUCAGGGCAAAGGAGCUGUCAUCUGCAGCACUGCCCUAUUCUAAUGGGCAGCUGGGUCAAAUGAUAUGUUCUGAAGACAAAACUGCAAGAAAAGACAGAUUUUCCUCCAACAGGGUAAAAGCCUAAAAGCCUCAAUGUAAUUUUAAGCCUAGUAGCUUGUAGCCUACCCCUCCUCCCAACACCCAUGCUGACACACACACCCAUCUCAGAAAUAUCAGUCACCUCCAUUCUGGAUAACAUCUGUGGUGGACAGAAUAAUCCCCCUCCCCCAAAGAUGUCCACAUUCUUAUCCUAUGAAAUGUUAACUUACAUAGGAAAAGGGACUCUGAGCAAAAGGUCUGAGAUGAAGAGAUUCUUCUAUGUUACCUGGGCAAGCCCAGUGUAAUCACAGGGUCCUUCCAAGAUGGAGAAAGAUCAAAGGCAGUAGGACACGUGACAAUGAAAGCAGAGGUUGGAGUGAUGCGAGGAAGGGGCCAUAAGCCAAGGAAUGCAGGGAACUUCCAGAAUCUGAAAAAGGCCAGGAAACCUUCUACCCUUAGAAUGUUCAGAAGGAACUAGCCCCUUGGGCUGGGGAUGUGGCUCAAGCAGUAGCGCGCUUGCCUGGCAUGCGUGCGCCCGGGUUCGAUCCUCAGCACCACAUACAGACAAAGAUGUUGUGUCUGCCGAAAACUAAAAAAUAAAUAUUAAAAAAAAAAUUCUCUCUCAAAAAAAAAAGGAACCAGCCCCACUGACCCCUGGACUUGGAC